CGUACGGACAUUCCUGGCCAAAGAGCAGAUGUGGCGUAUUUUUUUGUUUUCAUUUAUUCUAGAUCAAAUUACCGAAAAUGUAAUCGUAAAAAAUACGCCACAUCUGCUCUUUGGCCAGGAAUGUCCGUA
rnacentral:pre_miRNA from 1 species